rnacentral:rRNA from 1 species
CAGUCGCCGCGGGAAUACGUAGGGUGCGAGCGUUAAUCGGAAUUACUGGGCGUAAAGCGUGCGCAGGCGGUUGUGUAAGACAGGUGUGAAAUCCCCGGGCUUAACCUGGGAACUGCGCUUGUGACUGCACAGCUAGAGUAUGGCAGAGGGGGGUGGAAUUCCACGUGUAGCAGUGAAAUGCGUAGAGAUGUGGAGGAACACCGAUGGCGAAGGCAGCCCCCUGGGCCAAUACUGACGCUCAUGCACGAAAGCGUGGGGAGCAAACAGGAUUAGAUACCCGCGUAGUCCCUGUCUCUUAUAC